CAGUGCAGGAGGCGUCCUAAGCAAGCUGGCUGCAGCCCAGCGGAAGUCUCUGGAGGGCUGGCUGCAGGACCCACGCCCUAACCACUCAGCCAUGCAACCUCUCCAGAGACACAAGGCUUGCUGGCACUGCCCCCCUCUGAUUCCCAGUCAAGUGACCGCUAGCAGCCCUCUCACCUUGCAGGCACGUUGGCCCAGCCUUGGCCUUCGUGGUGGCAGCCAGCCAGGGAACCGCCUCUCCUGCAGGAAGGGUCCAGGGUGGGUCUUCUCCAGCCGGCUCCUUCUCAGGUGUGCUCCUGACUUUUCCCGUGUGGGUAGGGGGAGGUGGCCGAGAGGGUGGUUCAGGACAGAGCCGGGAGGGGACAUGGAUGAAGGCGUGUCGAGGUUUCUUGAGACACUAAGCUGAGCUGGGGUCCUGGGCGGGCCUGGCGCAGGAGCCCGACUUGCUCUUCUAUGUGGCCAGUGCAGGUGAGGGCGGUCGGUGUGACUUGAGUCCCUGGGGGCCACAAGGCCUGGAAGCUACCCCCCAGGGAGGCCACUCUCCCCUGCCACCACGGACCUCAGGCCCUUGCCUUCAGGGAGGGAGAACGUUCCCUGUGGGUAUUGAGUCUCCUGUCCCUCGCAUGGCUCCGAGAGACGCCAGAAGGGGUGUGGUGGUACACCCUGGACUCCUGUGGGCCUGACCUACUUGCUUCUGGGAGGCCAGAGCCCAACCCUGCCGUCUCCGGCUCCCAGCCACGCCCCUCUCCUGCUGCUGGGCACCCAGGGAUGCUGGGGACUCCGCCACAGGGAGGUGGCAGAAGAAGAACCUCCCAGGUGAACCAAUUGCUGAGUGCCAGACAUGCUUCCCGGGCCUCGUUUUGUCUCCUUUUAUGCGAACUUCCCCACUAUUAAGAGCAUUUUGAAAAAGAAGAUGAAAAGAGAGAGAAAGAAAAGGAGGAUGAGAGCGCGCGGGACGCCUGCGAAUCCUUUCGGCCGCCUGCUGCUGCUCCGGUCUGAGCCGAAUAGCGGGAAAUUGGAGAAUGUCGCAGGGGCGCCCUUCCUUCCCACCCUGCUGUGGGAGAGGGGACAGGGAUGGGGCCACCCCUCGGCCCACCGCCCGGCCCUGCGUAUGCCUGGCGCAUGCUGACAGACGCUGAUUUCUUGAUGAACGAAAGGAAAGAAAAUCGAUGAACAGAAGAGGCUGAGACUUUUCUGGCAUCGUGUGUGUGUGUGUGUGUGGGCUUUCAAACUUCCUUCUUUAUGAAGCUCCAAGGCCAGGAAAGAGAGGACAUUUGGUAAAGGAUCAGGCAGAGGGGCUGGCAAGGUGUCCUGGGAAGUCACAGCCUCACUGUUGGUCCAGGACCCGGGAUACAGCCGUUCUGGGCGUGUGUGUUUUGCAGGGCAGGCCUGGGUUGGGUGGCGGCUGCUCCGCUCCCCUCCCCUGUCCUUCCUUCCCCAACUCUGCUUCCCCCACGAGUCUCUCCAGGGUCUGAUCCAGGAACGUGCUGAGAUGACAGCCCCGGGAAGACUCAAAGCACAGUGAGAUAUCGGAGUCACAGUUGAAAGCUUGUGACGCCGUAAGACCCAGGCACAAGCCGGGACCAUCAUCGCGGGAUUUUCAGUACCCACAGCAAUGGUGCCCAUCUUUUCAGAGAUAAGGACAUAGGCCGGGUAGCUCGUAUCCCAGCGUGUGGAGAAAGGCCUGGCCUCCGGGCGCUGCAGACUCUGGUCCCUCAGAUGCUGGGCUCGGUGCUCACGGGCAGUUUGCUGUGCAAGGCCUGACCUCCACGGCCAGCAGCCCGGUCACCUCCCCGUCUAAACCCAGUCUGUUGGAUCCACGGACUUCUCAGCCAGAGUUUGAUCAGGAUUGGUCCCCAGAAAUACCCGCAAAGCCCAGGCGGGCACUCAGGUCACCUGUUUUUGAGGAAGACUCGCCUCUCACCCGUCUCCCUUCCUCUCUCUCUCUCUCUCUCUCUCUCUCUCUCUUCGCUUGAUAGCAGCAUAUUGGUCACGCUUAUUUCCUUUCUCCUUCAGAUCAGAGACACAAGGUGAGCAGAAGGAGAGCUGUUUGGGUGAGGAUUAGGAAGGCAUGGAAACCAUGGAAACUACUCAGAAAGCCCCUAGAGCCGCGGCCUUCAGGAUGCCUGCGCACCGCCAUUGGCUGGCUGUUCGUACCCUCUCUCUGAUGGAGACACAACUUGUGUUUAUUUUCCCUCCCACCUCUUCCCUUCUGUGCUGUGCUGGGGAACUCACAAGUCUGGCCAGGGCAAGAAGCUGGCCCUGAAUACAGUUCAGGGGAAUGAGGGUGCUAAUGGUUUUUAAUUUGUACUUAAUUUUUUUUAACUCUGUGAUGUUUUUAGGCUCAAUUCCUGGUGUUCGCUCUAUCACUCCGGGAGGCAGCACUGAUUUUCAGUGAUAGAUGUCGGUGGCGGAAAAUGAUGAUGGCGCAGAGGCUUCCGGCCCCUUGAGCAGAGGUUGUGGAAACGGCUCUCCUCGGCUGCCUGAGCGGCCCAGGCUCUGCUCCAGCUCCAAGGGCUGAAGGCUGCACAGGCUCUUAGCAAAAUCUCUGCAGGAUGGGAGUUUCCUGAAGGGGCUGGUGAGGGUCAGAACCCUGCGGGCAGCUUGGAUCCUCUUGUUUUCUUUUACAUAAAUGUGUUGUGCAGGUGAAUCAUUCUCAUCCAAAUGCUCAGAUAUUUCCAAUUUAAGUUUUUCUGGUUUCAGGAUACUUUGUGAGCUGAGCUGCCCUAACCUGAAAACCCAAAGUCCAGAAUGCUCCCAAAUCUGAAACUUAGCCAGGCUCACUCAGUCUGUAUAAAUUUAGGUGGGUUACUGGGUGCUGUUGAACCUCUCAAUUUUCUCCUUCCUCUGAGCAGUCAUGAUAAUAAGAAGGGUCUCUUACAUGGGACUUUGCCCUGAUCGCCUUUCUAGCCUGCUCUUUCUUUCUUUCCAGCAAUACCCUGGAAAGUUGCCUGGCCAGGUGUUUUUCAACCCCAUGUCAGGAGAAAAUGCAGACCCAAAAGUAGGUGGCAGGUCUAAAACUGGGUCCCAAGCGCUCUGCCCCCGGCCCAGGCUCUGCCAGGCUGCUGGCCCACACACGUCCGAUAGCCGAGGCUGUGGCUGGGCUUUUCCUGCAGGCUCAAGACCUGAGACCUGGCCGAGAAGGACGCUUUUAAGUAGUGACAGGCAGCACAGAGUCCCUGUGCCCCUCCCGCUUCCAGGAUGAUGCUCCUGCUGAGUGGAACAUGUGUCCGCUAUUCCUUCACACGCCUUCUCCCUCUUGGUUAGGGCUCCGUCCUUACUGCCAUGGCUUGGAUGUGCUUUCUCCCACAAGGUUCAGAUGAGGGAGGUCGGUCCCCAGGGUAAUGCUACUGAGAGGUGGGGCCCAGGAGGAGUCGAUGAGGUCACUGUGGAUUAACACCGCCCCUGUGUUGGGAGUGCACUAGAUCGCUUGGGACUGGAAAGGUUACCCGGAGAGUGGAUUGUUAUAAAGGGGAUCCGGCUUUCUCUGCUUGCCCUCUUGCUUCCUCUCCCACAGUGUGAUCUCUCUCUCUUGCUGUGGUCCUGUCAUGGGGCCUCCAAGACCGGGUGCUAAAUCAAUCUCUUUUCUUUAUAACCUCAGGGAUUUUGUUACAGCACCGCAAAGUGGACCGAGACAUCUGUGGAGCCAUUAUUGCUGUUAUGGUGAUGACUCCGAUGACUUAUUUUUUGCUUCAGUGCAUAACCACCUUUCUGUCUCAGGCUUCUGUGGGUUUCCUGGACUCAGCUAGAAGGGUCUUCUGGCUGGGGCUGUGGUCACAGACAUAGCUGACGAGGUCAGAGUCCCCAGGAUGCCUCACUCACACGACUGGCGUUUGGCAUUGACUCAUGACUGGUCUCUCAGCCAAGGUUGCAGAUCUGAGAGGCCACACAUGUCCCAAGCUUGGUUCUGAGAAAGAGGAUCCCUAAAAGGCCCCUGCAAGGAAGAGGAUGCAGAAGCUGUGCCCCCCUCAAGAUGAGACCCGGAACUGGUACAGUGUCCUGUGUGUCUUCUUAGGGCUAGGGUCAGCCUCCCUCUCUGCUGGUUCUUCUCCUCUGUCUUCCCCUCCAGACUUUUCUGAUGUCUUCUCCUCAGUUUCUCACCCCCAUAUUUCACCCACACUUCUUUCUUCUCUCGGCUCCCCAUGCUGUGCUGAGGUGCCCUGAGUCCACCCUGGGGCUCACACCCGAGGACUGGCCGGGGUGUCCAACUCCCCUUCAGACAUUCCCAGUGGAGGCCAGAUUAAGAAUUCCAAAGUAGGACCGGGGAUUUAGCUCAGUGGUUCUGCCUUCUGCCUCACAAGCACAAGGACCCGAGUUCGAUCCCUGGUACCAAAAACAAAGAAUUUCAAAGUUGGUCUCUCCCGCCCAUCCAGAGAGGAACUUGGCAUCCUCUUCCCAACUUGUCUCUCCUUGUGUGAUCCCUGACUUGGUCCCCCAAUUUCCCCACUAAACCGGGCCUCCAAAGGUAUCCCUGGAUGGUGGCACAGACUUUACCUGUGUAAUCAGAAAAACAACCAGAAGUCAGUUAGAAAAAUAAAAGCAAGGAGUGGUUGUGGUCCCAGGCUUCCUCCUUAAAAAGGAAGGAGAGAGAAACUGGUUAAAAUGGAGAUUUGGGAGCAGCCCCAGCUUAACUGGAAAACCACACUGGUGUAGGCUGGAGAGGCUUCAGGAAUGGCAAACAGCUUCUCCCUGCUCAAAGGAAUUUUCUGGAAACCAUAAUGGCUGCCCGUCCUAACCACAGGCUGGUCUUUCUGGCAGGAUUAGCACAAGUGUGUGGUCAGGGAGGCCACGCUGGAGCCAGCCUGGAUAUUUCAGCCGUCUGAGUUCCCUCUGUGCCGAAAAGUGGGGGCUGGGAUUCAGGGGAGCUGGAGGUGCCCCAGAUCUCCACUUCACACUAAACGGGGACAAGGGUUCAGCUCCCCACCCUCAACCCCGAUCAGCUUUCUGCUUUUUCAGGGACAAAGGGAUAGCAGAAGACGCAGGGGAGGGAAAGGAGCUCAGUUUGCUGAACUCCGGCUCUGUACAGGGUAUCUUCAUAUCCUUCGUCCCAUCUUGUCAUUUGGGAGGCCUGCUGUCAUUUCCUCUUUUCAAAAGAGGAAACAGGCUGCGUAACCCUGCCCAAGGUCACAGAGAGGAGGCACUGGGAUAGUGCCCAGGUCUGUCUGAAUGCACACGGCGCUGGAUGCCAUUAGGACAGGAUGUCCUCAAGUCGGUGUGGCUGAGCUGGGUCUCCCUGUAGCAUAUCCUGUCCCUCCCUCUCUCUGUUAUGUAACAGGACACGGCCCUGCUGUGAGGUCCUGAGUGGGAGAGAAGAGGAAGGAAUCUGGAUUUGUGUGGCACCUACUUUCUGCGGCCCUGGGAGCGUUUCCCCAGGCUGGUGGGUAGCCCAGAGCCUGCACUAGAUCAGCCCAGGGUACCCAGGCGUGGUCAGGUCACUUACCUGGUUUCACAUAGUUACAGUGAAUGUUUACAUUUUAAAAAUUGAUUACAGCAAGAGACACGUUUCCAUCGAUCCACCUUGGUUUCCUCCCCUCACCUUGAACACACAUCUCCCACCAUUUUUCUGCUUUCUGAAGCAGGUCUGGGAAUCCUCUUUCAUGAGUGUCUGUACUUGAGCCAUUGAGGCAGCCUCAGUGACUGGAAUAAAUUAAAAGCGACUCCCUCUCACGGUCGUUUUGACAUUGGGGAAGAGCCAGAAGCUGCAUGGUGCCAGGUCCAGUGAGUGGAUGGAUGAGAAGACACUGUCCUCACAUUUUUAUCAGCCUGUCCUGGUGGCUGGUGCUCGGUGGCAGCC